UACAGAGGGUGCAAGCGUUAAUCGGAAUUACUGGGCGUAAAGGGUGCGUAGGUGGUUAGCUAAGUUAGGUUUGAAAGCCCUGGGCUUAACCUGGGAAUUGCGCCUAAUACUGUUUAGCUAGAGUACUGUAGAGGAAGGUGGAAUUUCCGGUGUAGCGGUGAAAUGCGUAGAUAUCGGAAGGAACAUCAGUGGCGAAGGCGACUUUCUGGACAGAUACUGACACUGAGGCACGAAAGCAUGGGGAGCAAACAGG
rnacentral:rRNA from 1 species